GAUGAACGCUGGCGGCGUGCCUAAUUCAUGCGAGUCGAGCGAACGGACGAGAAGCUUGCUUCUCUGAUGUUAGCGGCGGACGGGUGAGUAACACGUGGAUAACCUACCUAUAAGACUGGGAUAACUUCGGGAAACCGGAGCUAAUACCGGAUAAUAUUUUGAACCGCAUGGUUCAAAAGUGAAAGACGGUCUUGCUGUCACUUAUAGAUGGAUCCGCGCUGCAUUAGCUAGUUGGUAAGGUAACGGCUUACCAAGGCAACGAUGCAUAGCCGACCUGAGAGGGUGAUCGGCCACACUGGAACUGAGACACGGUCCAGACUCCUACGGGAGGCAGCAGUAGGGAAUCUUCCGCAAUGGGCGAAAGCCUGACGGAGCAACGCCGCGUGAGUGAUGAAGGUCUUCGGAUCGUAAAACUCUGUUAUUAGGGAAGAACAUAUGUGUAAGUAACUGUGCACAUCUUGACGGUACCUAAUCAGAAAGCCACGGCUAACUACGUG
rnacentral:rRNA from 1 species